rnacentral:rRNA from 1 species
AGCGUAGGCGGUUUUUUAAGUGGGGUGUGAAAUCCCUGGGCUUAACCCAGGAAUUGCAUUCCAUACUGGGAAACUAGAGUGCAGGAGAGGAAAGUGGAAUUCCAAGUGUAGCGGUGAAAUGCGUAGAGAUUUGGAGGAACACCAGUGGCGAAGGCGACUUUCUGGACUGUAACUGACGCUGAGGCUCGAGAGCGUGGGGAGCAAACAGGAUUAGAUACCCUGGUAGUCCACGCUGUAAACGAUGAAUACUAGGUGUUGGGGGCGAAGCCCUCAGUGCCGCAGUUAACACAUUAAGUAUUCCGCCUGAGGAGUACGAUCGCAAGAUUAAA